rnacentral:rRNA from 1 species
UCGGAUAUAGAGACCGGCGCACGGGUGCGUAACGCGUAUGCAAUCUACCUUUUACAGGGGAAUAGCCCAGAGAAAUUUGGAUUAAUGCCCCAUAGUAUAAUUGAAUGGCAUCAUUUAAUUAUUAAAGUCACAACGGUAAAAGAUGAGCAUGCGUCCCAUUAGUUAGUUGGUAAGGUAACGGCUUACCAAGACAAUGAUGGGUAGGGGUCCUGAGAGGGAGAUCCCCCACACUGGUACUGAGACACGGACCAGACUCCUACGGGAGGCAGCAGUGAGGAAUAUUGGACAAUGGGCGCAAGCCUGAUCCAGCCAUGCCGCGUGCAGGAAGACGGUCCUAUGGAUUGUAAACUGCUUUUAUACAGGAAGAAACACUCCGACGUGUCGGAGCUUGACGGUACUGUAGGAAUAAGGAUCGGCUAACUCCGUGCCAGCAGCCGCGGUAAUACGGAGGAUCCAAGCGUUAUCCGGAAUCAUUGGGUUUAAAGGGUCCGUAGGCGGUUUAAUAAGUCAGUGGUGAAAUCUGGUCGCUCAACGAUCAAACGGCCAUUGAUACUGUUAGACUUGAAUUAUAAGGAAGUAACUAGAAUAUGUAGUGUAGCGGUGAAAUGCUUAGAUAUUACAUGGAAUACCAAUUGCGAAGGCAGGUUACUACUUAUGGAUUGACGCUGAUGGACGAAAGCGUGGGGAGCGAACAGGAUUAGAUACCCUGGUAGUCCACGCCGUAAACGAUGGAUACUAGCUGUUGGAAGC